CCUUGCCUUUUCCAGCCUACUCUCCUAAAACACAUGACUCCCCAGGCUCAGGAGAUGUAGCAUUCAGUUCCCACCGUUUAAAACAAAUUCCUCCGUUGCAGGGUGUACAACAGAGAUGAAGGGCAUCUGGGGACGAGAGCGCUUACUAUGUGCCAAUUUUACGUAUGUAAUUCUCAUUUGUUCUCACCUCAACAGUGUGAAGUAGGUGGUAUGAUUUGCGUUUCAAAACCAAGGAAAUUGAGACUUAGGGUGGCCGAGUGACAUGCCCCAGAGGCAGAUUGGGACCCAAGUCAGGCUGAGUCUAGAGCUGUGCCCUUUCCUCUUGCUUCCGGAUUUGACUCAGUUCCAGGCCUGAUUUUGUGUAUCUGGCUCAGAGUCAAAGGCAGCAGAUGGGGUGCAGUCUCCACCGUACGUGCAUGCUAUUCCCUCAGUCACAAAUAUUUAUUUUCCUAACUCCUUACUAUAUACCAGUUACUGUCCCAGGCUUGGGGUUACCGCAGUGAGUGAUCAAGACAGACAAGGCUUCUGCCUAUAAGGAGCUCACAUUCCAGUGGGGACAGAGCAGACGAUAAAUAAGAAAACAGUGGAAUCAGAGAAAUGCAAGGUGAAUUGUGAUGUCCCUUCUAACUUCCUCUGCUCUGUCCUCCCCUGCUUGACUCCUGAGCCUUGAGACCUUUUUUUCCAGCCACAUAGACCCUCAUACCUAGCAAAGAGAGAGGAGUGGUCAGAGGGUAAAGUAUGGGGCUGUUAAGGAUCCUUCAUGCUUCCCUCUGUGGGCAUAGAGUUCCUUGGGAGAAUGAUGGCCCAGAAACACUGGGGGAAAUUGGCGUCCAGGCUGAAAAGUCCCUGGGCCUGGGUGUCUCGUCUUACGGUCCAGAAAGUGCUUGUUUCUCCUUAGCUGGUUGAGGACUGCUUCCACCACUCCCUCCUGACCCUGCUGAAUGCAGAGAAUGCAGUGCUUCCCUGCUCCCCAAGUUGUUCUGAUGUGGAGGGAGCCUUCAGUUGCCGGAAGUGGGCCUGGCAUGGCUGUGUCUUGUCUGUGCUUGUCUAAUAUCUAUUUCCCCUCUGCCACUAAUCCCCCUACUUUGCCUGAGAAUCUUUCCCUCUCUGGUUAAUUUCAGUCAUGGUGUUUCAUCAGGGGCCCUAUUGUGGCCAAGGGGUGGGCCUGUGAGUCAUUCUCAGCCAAUCAGAUACCAUCUCCUUCUAAAUUGGCCCCUGAGGGGAGUUGCAUGGAGAUUGAGAAAACUGACUGAUCCAUCCCCACAGCUGAGCUCUGAAAAGACUGUUCAUUAGUUCCCGCUUCUCAGAUCACUAGGGAAGCCUGGAUUUCUGACUUUCUCAAGACCUUAGCUUUUCCUUCCAUCCUGGGGGCUGCUCCAUGAAUUUCUCUUUCACGUAAAUCAGUCAAAGUUGGAUUUGUUCCUUGCAACCGAACCUUAAUGGCUGCUGGCCUGAGGUGACAGAAGCACUGUAGUGGCUCUGGAGCGGAUUUUAAUCAGUGGAGACACACUCAGACUAGUGCUUUAGAAAGAGUACCCUUGGGUACGAUGGACAGCAGACUAGAGCAGGAAGGACUGGAGACUGGCAGAAGGAUGAGGAGGCUGUGGCCAUGGUCCAGCUGAGACAUGAUGGCAGCUGGGGCCAGAUGAAGGGCCCUCGGGGUGGGAGACUGGCGUGGAUUCUAAGGAUAGUCUCCUCUCGAAUGCAGGUGCCUGGAUUAGGUGGACUUUGUUUCGUAUGAGCAGCUGUACAUGAGAUUUUUGCAAAUGGAAAUUUAUGUCAAAUGCACCAAGAAGUCUCCUUCGGAGUGAAGGAUCUUAAUGCUCACAAUGUGAAUGCUCGUUCCAGGAAGUUUGAUUUAGUUAGAUGUGAUGGUUAGUUUUAUGUGUCAACUUGGCUGGGCUACAGUACCCAGUUAUCUAAUCAACACUAAUCUAGGUGUGGCUGUGAAGGUAUUUUGCAGACAUUGUUAACGUCUACAAUCAGUUGGCUUGAAGAAAAAGAGAUUACUGUUGAUAACGUGGGUGGUCCUAUCUAAUCACUUAGAGGCCUUAAGAGUAAAAACAGUUUUCUCAGAGAAGAAGAAAUUCUGCUUCAAGACCACAGCAUCAACUCCUGCCUGAGUUUCCAGCCUACCAGCCCUAUGGAUUUCAGACUUGCCAACCCUGUCGA
rnacentral:lncRNA from 1 species